rnacentral:tRNA from 1 species
ACCUGGUUGGCUCAGUCAGUAGAGCAUGAGACUCUUGAUCUCAGGGUUGUGAAUUCAAGCCCCACAUUGUGCG